rnacentral:rRNA from 1 species
CAGCAGCCGCGGUAAUUCCAGCUCCAAUAGCGUAUACUAAAGUUGUUGCGGUUAAAAAGCUCGUAGUUGGAUCUUGGAAUGUGUUCAAGCGGGUCAGCUUCUGGCUGUGCGCUGCUUGACGUGUUCUUCUAUUUGGUUUUGGUGCGGUGCGCUUAACUGCGUGUCGCUCCCGGCCGAAACGUUUACCUUGAAAAAAUUAGAGUGUUCAAAGCAGACCUGUUUGAGUCUGAAUAUUCGUGCAUGGAAUAAUGAAAUAUGAAUUCGGUUCUAUUUUGUUGGUUUUCGGAACUCGAGUUAAUGAUCAAGAGGGACAGACGGGGGCAUUCGUACUCUGCCGUUAGAGGUGAAAUUCUUGGAUCGGCGGAAGACGCGCAACUGCGAAAGCAUUUGCCAAGAAUGUUUUCUUUAAUCAAGAACGAUAGUCGGAGGUUCGAAGACGAUCAGAUACCGUCCUAGUUUCGACUGUAAACUAUGCCAGCUAACGAUCAGACAGAGUUCUCUACGACUUGUCUGGCAGUUUCCGGGAAACCAAAGCGUUUGGGUUCCGGGGGAAGUAUGGUUGCAAAGCUGAAACUUAAAGGAAUUGACGGAAGGGCACCACCAGGAGUGGAGCCUGCGGCUUAAUUUGACUCAACACGGGGAAACUCACCCGGCCCGGACACAGUGAGGAUUGACAGAUUGAGAGUUCUUUCUUGAUUCUGUGGGUGGUGGUGCAUGGCCGUUCUUAGUUGGUGGAGCGAUUUGUCUGGUUAAUUCCGAUAACGAACGAGACUCUGGCAUGUUAAAUAGUCGCGGAAGUGCGUAUGCACUUGCCGAAUUGACUUCUUAGAGGGACUAGUGAUUUUAAUUCACACGAGAUUGAGCAAUAACAGGUCUGUGAUGC